CUACGGGGCGCAGCAGUGGGGAAUAUUGGACAAUGGGGGAAACCCUGAUCCAGCAAUGCCGCGUGUGUGAAGAAGGCCUGCGGGUUGUAAAGCACUUUCGGUUGGGAGGACUGCUUCUAGAACUAAUCUUGUUGGAAGUUGACGUUACCUUCAGAAGAAGCACCGGCUAACUCCGUGCCAGCAGCCGCGGUAAUACGGAGGGGGCAAGCGUGUAAUCGGAAUUACUGGGCGUAAAGCGCGCGUAGGCGGCUAGAUCAGUCGGGUGUGAAAGCCCCGGGCUUAACCUGGGAACUGCAUCCGAUACUGUCUAGCUUGAGUACAGGAGCGGAGAGUGGAAUUCCACAUGUAGCGGUGAAAUGCGUAGAUAUGUGGAGGAACACCAAUGGCGAAGGCAGCUCUCUGGCCUGAUACUGACGCUGAGGUGCGAAAGCGUGGGGAGCAAACAGGAUUAGAUACCCCGGUAGUC
rnacentral:rRNA from 1 species